rnacentral:lncRNA from 1 species
AAAAAAAAAGCGUCCCAGGUGGGAGCGAGAAGACUGACACAACAGCAGACUGACUGUUUUUCAGUUCUGAUUAGACACUAGUGUUGAGAUGUCUGUCUGUCAUGAUAACAUGUACUGAGUCGGGGCCAGUACCAGAUAAGCACUUUAAACUAUAAUCCAUAAACGUAAGGUAACAACCGAGACCUAAUGGUGCUGUGACAGCAACGCCAUUGAGUUUGAGACAGUGAAAAUACAUAUGGUAUGUUGUAUCUGAACAGGUUAGCUUACGAGCUAAAGUUACUUAGCACAGAUGAAAGUUAAAACAAAGACGUUUAGCAAACUGUUAAAGCACACAAACCAUCGUCAUAUGAGAAAUCCGACGCUAUGACUCUCCACAAGUUGUCUUUCAGGUCGUUAUCUUUGUAAUAUUUGUGUUUUUUAUCAAAAAGCACUCUGUUCUCCGACACGUAAACAAUCAGCCGGUCGGCCAUGUUGGAUAUACCGGUGAAUCUGACGUCGCAACAACACGAAAUCCGAUUGGUCAGAAGUGGACACACAGUAUGCAAAACUUUAGAAAAUUCGACUGUGAUAUGAAAAAAUAAAUGCCGCAAUAUCGCAGGACGGGAAAACGUUGCUGAUGUAAACGCUUGUAUUGACAGGAUACAGGUUUGAAAAAAAAUAUUGA